AGCCACAGCCAUAUCAUCCUGCAGCCCAAGACUGGUUGCCCACUGAAGCUAAGCAGGGUUGAGCCUGGUCAAUACCUGGAUGGGAGACCUCCUGGGAAAACUAGGUUGCUGUUGAAA
rnacentral:rRNA from 1 species